GAGAUUCUAGUAAAAUAAUUACACUGCCUUGUCGAGGCAGAAUUAUGGGUUAGACCCCCAUGCAUCUUA
rnacentral:tRNA from 1 species